UUGCGGGUCAUCUGGGGAGUAGCCGCCCGCGCUUUAUUGCGGGACCUGCCGUCAACAUACUCGGUCGAGAGGCCGUGGCGCGCAGGAGGACGGGAAACCGUUCGGGUGAGACCAAUGACGCAUCGCGGUUCCGCCCGGCCGGGCGGGGGCUGCAUGCGUCGUUGCGUUCACUCGUCGCCCGGCC
rnacentral:sRNA from 2 species